AACGAACGCUGGCGGCAUGCCUAACACAUGCAAGUCGAACGGGAAGGCCCUGCCUAGUUGGGCAGCUCGAGGGGCGAACGGGGGAGCUACACGUAGGUAAGGUACCCUUGCCUUUAGGGUGUCUUCAGAAAAGUGGGGCUAAUAGCGGAAAGGAGCUCCUGCUGCUGGGUGGGGGUUGGAAAGUUUAGGCAGUUGGGGGUGGACUCGCGGCCUAUUAGGUUGUUGGUGGGGUAGUGGCUUACCAAGGCCUUGCACGGUGGGCGGCCUGCGAGGGUGACCGGCCACACUGGGACUGGGAUGCGGCCCAGACUCGUACGGGAGGGAGCAGUGGGGAAUAUUGCACAAUGGGCGGAAGCCUGAUGCAGCCACGCCGCGUGCGGGAUGACGGCCUUCGGGUUGUAUUGCGCUUUCGCCUGUGACGAAGCGUGAGUGACGGUAAUGGGUAAAGAAGCACCGGCUAACUACGUG
rnacentral:rRNA from 1 species